rnacentral:rRNA from 1 species
UGGGGAAUAUUGGACAAUGGGCGCAAGCCUGAUCCAGCCAUGCCGCGUGAGUGAAGAAGGCCUUAGGGUUGUAAAGCUCUUUUAGCGGGGAAGAUAAUGACGGUACCCGCAGAAUAAGCCCCGGCUAACUUCGUGCCAGCAGCCGCGGUAAUACGAAGGGGGCUAGCGUUGUUCGGAAUUACUGGGCGUAAAGCGCACGCAGGCGGAUUGAUAAGUCAGGGGUGAAAUCCCGGGGCUCAACCUCGGAAUUGCCUUUGAUACUGCCAGUCUUGAGUCCGGGAGAGGUGAGUGGAAUUCCUAGUGUAGAGGUGAAAUUCGUAGAUAUUAGGAAGAACACCAGUGGCGAAGGCGGCUCACUGGCCCGGUACUGACGCUCAGGUGCGAAAGCGUGGGGAGCAAACAGGAUUAGAUACCCUGGUAGUCCACGCCGUAAACGAUGGAUGCUAGCCGUUGGGGAGCUUGCUCUUCAGUGGCGCAGCUAACGUCUUAAGCAUCCCGCCUGGGGAGUACGGUCGCAAGAUUA